rnacentral:ncRNA from 1 species
AAUAUAAAUAGAUUUCCUUCAUAUAUCCUCGAUAAUAUGGAUCGAGAGUCUCUACCAGGUCGCCGUAAAUGAUUUGACUAUGAAGGCAGUUGAUUC